CUGUCUAAUUUUACAACUAAUGUGCUACUCUUUAGUGACAACUUUGUUACGUAUUUUGCGACCGUUCUGCCACAACAUUUGUUCUUGUUCUUGUUUGUGACUAACUUGCGACGACUUUUGCGACAACUUGUACAACCCGUUUGCGACCGAUUUGGGACCGUUUUCCGACUUUUACCAACUUUUAGGGUUUUCGAUUAGGCGGGCUAUUAUCCCUCGUGUUUUUUUGGUUGCGACCAAGUUGGGACGAGUUUGCGACUCCUAUUCUUUUAUUACUACCAACGAAAAGUCACAUUUCUCGAAUCUGAAACACUUUAGUCUUUAGUCUUCGAUUCCUCUCUUCGUUUCUUCUUCGAUUUCUCUCUUCAAUUCCUCUUUUUGAUUCGUUUUCCUCCUCGAUUCUUCUCUUCAAUUCCUCUUCGUUUCUUCAUUAAUUUGGUAGUAGAUCUUUGAUUCCUCUUCUUCUUCGUUUCUUCUUCGAUUCCUCUUCCUCUUCGUUUCUUCUUCGAUUCCUCUCUUCGCUUUAAUACCUUCUCUCUUUGUCCUCUCUUCGCUUUAAUACCUUCUCCUCUCAUCUCAAAACCCUAGCCGUCGUUGUCGUCGCCGCUUCUCCUCGUCGUCGCUUCUCCUCGUCGAAUGACACCUUUGUGUGGUGAGCUCGCGUGAUUUAGAUUUCAAGCUAUGUGUUCUCGGAUUUGAACAGUGAGUGGAGUCUCUCAUCUUAGUCUGAAGCUCUUUCUAAAGAAGUGUUGGGCGUUUUCAAACUAUAAAGAAAGGGAACGUGGAAGGAAAAAUAAGGAGCAGAUCUUAGCUUCAUUAUGUUGCCAAGUUCGAGUAUUGGUUGUUGGUGACUCAGUGGAGGCCUUUAAGAACAAAGGCAUAACUGGUAUAGGAGCUGCAAGGUUUUGUUGGGGUGGCGAGUUUGGUUUUCUUGUUUCUAUCACUUCUAUUAGAUUGGAUAACUAUGAGAGAGAGAAAGGAACAAGCAACUUGAAGAAUCACGCCUCAAGUGUUCCCUCUACAGUGGCUACUAUAUCCUAGGCACCGCCAAUGCAACCGCCAAUGCAACAGCCACUGCCAAUGCAACAGCCACAACCACUGCACAAAACAACGCAGAAGAAACCAUAGGAGAAACCAAUCCAGCCACUGCACCACAAGGAACUGUCGCAGCCACACCAAUAGUUUCUUCAUCAUCAUUCUAAGUACUUUCUUCAUCUUUUUUUCAUUUUGUUAUGAACAUUGAAGAUCCUUUUGAAUGUUUAAGGUUAUAUAUGUAAGGCUAUGUUACCAACAUUAGGGCUUUGAAACAAAUUUAAAUGAUCGCAGAUUUGUUUUUUGGUUUUC